UUCGUAGGGAGCAAGCGUUGUUCGGAAUUACUGGGCGUAAAGGGCUCGUAGGUGGCCAACUAAGUCAGACGUGAAAUCCCUCGGCUUAACCGGGGAACUGCGUCUGAUACUGGAUGGCUUGAGUUCGGGAGAGGGAUGCGGAAUUCCAGGUGUAGCGGUGAAAUGCGUAGAUAUCUGGAGGAACACCGGUGGCGAAGGCGGCAUCCUGGACCAUUACUGACGCUGAGGCGCGAAAGCUAGGGGAGCAAACGGG
rnacentral:rRNA from 1 species